rnacentral:pre_miRNA from 1 species
UCAGGGACGAUGAAGAAAGAGAGGUCCUCAGAGCUGCAGGAAUAGGAACACCAAGGAAUGCGAAUGCUCUGAUUUCUCCUCUAGCACUGGAGGUGGAUAUUUUGGCUUGGUGUGUUCCUGAUGCUCCUAUUCCUAUGGUUCUUAGGUGCUCCUUCCUUUUCCCUUUCGCA